rnacentral:rRNA from 1 species
GACGGAGGGUGCAAGCGUUGUUCGGAUUGACUGGGCGUAAAGGGCGUGUAGGCGGUUUGUCAAGUCGGGUGUGAAAGCCCGGGGCUUACCCCCGGAAGUGCAUUGGAAACUGGGAGGCUUGAGUACCGGAGAGGAGGGUGGAAUUCCUGGUGUAGCGGUGAAAUGCGUAGAUAUCAGGAGGAACACCGGUGGCGAAGGCGGCCCUCUGGACGGAUACUGACGCUGAGACGCGAAAGCGUGGGGAGCAAACAGG